GCUGACUAAGUGUUUAUUCGCACAUUGACUUUUCACGUCAAAGGGGCAUACCAAAUGCAUUCAGCU
rnacentral:tRNA from 1 species